rnacentral:rRNA from 1 species
GACGAACCGUGCGAACGUUGUUCGGAAUCACUGGGCGUAAAGGGCGCGUAGGCGGCUCAUGAAGGCUGUGGUGAAAGUCCGGGGCUCAACCUCGGAUCGGCCGUGGCGACUCGUGGGCUGGAGCACUGUAGAGGCGGGUGGAAUUCCGGGUGUAGCGGUGGAAUGCGUAGAGAUCCGGAAGAACACCAGUGGCGAAGGCGGCCCGCUGGGCAGUGGCUGACGCUGAGGCGCGACAGCGUGGGGAGCAAACAGG